rnacentral:lncRNA from 1 species
GGAAUACACUCAACCGUGGAGGAGGUGGAAUUAUAAGGAAUCUGAACUUAGAGGAAAUGCCAGUUGAGUCCUGACCUUCCUCCUUCCGUGACAGAAUUCCAGCUGUACCAUGACAGAAAUCUGACUCUGAGAGUGAGGGGAGUGUGGUGGUUUCCUUGGACUCCAUCCAAACGAAGCAAGAUGAGCAUCUGUCUGCUGAUUUAUCAAGAGGACCAGCGAUGGUUUAGGAAUGAUGGACAGUCCUCUGAGGAAGCAGUGCCAGAAGCAUGAUGAGCAGAAAUGCUGAACAAGAUGCUGGCUGGAGGGGAAAUCGGUCUCCCAGGCCGAUUAGCUUGGGUGAGAGCCAAGAGAGGCAGAAACUUGUUACAGCUACAGUCAUCUGUC